rnacentral:rRNA from 1 species
AGGACGAACGCUGGCGGCGUGCUUAACACAUGCAAGUCGAGCGGAAAGGCCCUUCGGGGUACUCGAGCGGCGAACGGGUGAGUAACACGUGAGCAACCUGCCCUUAGCUCCGGGAUAGCUCCGGGAAACCGGAAUUAAUACCGGAUACGACCACAGCCGACAUCUGCUGUGGUGGAAAGGAUUCCGGCUAAGGAUGGGCUCGCGGCCUAUCAGCCCCUAGUUGGUGGAGUAACGGCCCACCAAGGCGACGACGGGUAG